rnacentral:rRNA from 1 species
GACGAACGCUGGCGGCGUGCCUAAUACAUGCAAGUCGAACGCUUCUUUCCUCCCGUUUUCUUGCACUCAAUUGGAAAGCGGAGUGGCGGACCGGUGAGUAACACGCCGGUAACUUACCCAACAGAGGGGGAUAACACGCUGAAACAGGUUCUAAUAUCGUACAACAUUUUAUGCCGCAGGGAGUAAGGGUGAAAGGGGCUUUACUGGGUGGUUAAGGGCUGGAUGCUCGGUUCAUUAGCUAGUUGGUGGGGGAGCGGCUUACCAAGGCCGAGAUGGAUAGGCGGCCUGGGAGGGUGACCGGCCACAUUGGGACUGCGGUACGGCCCAGACGGCUACGUGAGGCAGCAGUGGGGAAUAUUGCCCAAUGGGCGGAAGACUGAUGCAGCAACUUCGCGUGCGGAAUGACGGCUUUCGGGUUGGAAACCGCUUUCGCCUGUGACGAAGCGUGCGUGACGGUAAUUAGCAAAGAAGCACCGGCUAACUACGU